AUACACUUUCUGCCAUGUGGAAAAAGCUGGCCUGCAGUGAAAGGGAGAAAUACAGCAGACACACAUGGAGACUCUGAGGCAAGAAACAAAGACCUUUCAAGAAGUAUUAAGGAAGCCAGAUCUCAUGCCUUACAGCACAGUGGGAAGAACCACUGCCUCCCAUUGGUUUGGAGGUGGAGGGUUGAAUGUGUGCAACAGAGCUGCUGUGAAUCCUGCCAUGGAGGCAUAUGUAAGAUGUGCUGAAGCCUUGCCUUCACCACAAGGGACACUGAGCCAGCUGCCUGCGUGAAAGAUAAGUAAUACUGGUGGUUAAGCUGUAAUAGAAAUUCAGUUGAUGAGACAAGAUCGAAGUUCUGCCAUUGAAUACUCCUUGAACUUGGAACUCUUCUGAAUAGGCCCAAAGGAAGAUAACUUUGACUAUAUAAA
rnacentral:lncRNA from 1 species